UACGGGGGGGCAAGCGUUGUUCGGAAUUACUGGGCGUAAAGGGCUUGUAGGUGGCCAACUAAGUCAGACGUGAAAUCCCUCGGCUUAACCGGGGAACUGCGUCUGAUACUGGAUGGCUUGAGUUUGGGAGAGGGAUGCGGAAUUCCAGGUGUAGCGGUGAAAUGCGUAGAUAUCUGGAGGAACACCGGUGGCGAAGGCGGCAUCCUGGACCAAGACUGACACUGAAAAGCGAAAGCCAGGGAGCAAACG
rnacentral:rRNA from 1 species